rnacentral:lncRNA from 1 species
AUUUUGCACUGUGAUAAUCACCUAUAACCUGAGAGCAUAUAAAUAUGUGAUUAAUUUAUAUUUUUAUUUUAAAGAACCCAAAUAAAUAUAUGCCAUAUAUUCUGUUAUUUAUGGUAUUUCAAAUUACUCCUUUACAGGUUUAUAGGACUAAUGUGACUUUCCCAAGGUCAGGGAGAGCAAAUGGAAAAGAUUCAAAGCAAUUACCCAGAAACUUAAAGUCAAAACAAAACCAAAAGUGUAAGGAUUCCAACUUUUACGCAAUUGUCCGGAUAUUUGAGUUCUCUUCCAGAGGCUGACAAUAUGGAGCAAGAUACAGGCCUGGUUUUCACUCUCUUGGAGUUCCUAUGGUAGAUGGAGAAAAAUGAUUGAGAAGAUAUCUAGAAAAGUCACUUUGCCUGAAAACUAUAAUCAGAAUUGCAGUGUUUUGCUGGUCAAACCAAGUAAGCAGUGCCCUUUUAAAAAACUAUUCCAUUAUGUGUUAGCUCUGUGUCAGUAUAUACGAGUUAACUGUGGCAUCACAAAACCUGAAAAGCAGGA